rnacentral:tRNA from 1 species
GCCUGAGUGGCUCAGUCGGUUGAGCAUCCGACUUUGGCUCAGGUCAUGAUCUCCUAGUUUGGUCUGUGAGUUCGAGCCCUGCUUCGGGCU